rnacentral:rRNA from 1 species
CCUACGGGGGGCACCAGUGGGGAAUAUUGCACAAUGGGCGCAAGCCUGAUGCAGCCAUGCCGCGUGUAUGAAGAAGGCCUUCGGGUUGUAAAGUACUUUCAGCGAGGAGGAAGGCAUCAGGGUUAAUAACCUUGGUGAUUGACGUUACUCGCAGAAGAAGCACCGGCUAACUCCGUGCCAGCAGCCGCGGUAAUACGGAGGGUGCAAGCGUUAAUCGGAAUUACUGGGCGUAAAGCGCACGCAGGCGGUCUGUCAAGUCGGAUGUGAAAUCCCCGGGCUCGACCUGGGAGCUGCAUUCGGAACUGGCAGGCUAGAGCCUUGUAGAGGGGGGUAGAAUUCCAGGUGUAGCGGUGAAAUGCGUAGAGAUCUGGAGGAAUACCGGUGGCGAAGGCGGCCCCCUGGACAAAGACUGACGCUCAGGUGCGAAAGCGUGGGGAGCAAACAGGAUUAGAUACCCCCGUAGUC